rnacentral:rRNA from 1 species
CGUUGAGAAGUUCGUUGUGCAAAUCAAUGCAUCUUGAAGAAUUAACCUUGCUAUAAUUAUUCGGGCGUUAAAUAAGUUUAAUAAAAUUAUUUUUAGUUUUAUUUGUUAAGUAGAUUGAAUCAAAAAAAUUAUAAGUUGGCAAUAGAGUAAAGUACUGUAAAGGAAAGGUGAAAUAGGAUGAAAAAUAAAUUAAAAAAAAGUAGUAGUUUAAAUUCGUACCUUGUGUAUCAGGGAAAAUCAAAAUUUGUUUUGAAAAAAAUAAUCCCGAAAGAAAAAGAGUUAAUCCAAAAACAAAGUUCUCGUGUUAAUGAGAUUUAAAAUUUUGUAUUAGUGGUGAAAUGCUAUUCGAUUUUUCAUAUCUGGUUAUUAGCGAAUUAAAUUUAAUUUAUUAGGUUGGUGGUAAUUGAAACUAUAAACCGAGAAAGAAAAGGAGGGAAAAGCUUCUUUUUCUAUCAUAAAUGUCUUGCAAUUAAAUGUAAAUAAACCGUUAAACUAGGCUUAAAAGCAGCCACGUU